UACGGGGGGAGCAAGCGUUGUUCGGAUUUACUGGGCGUAAAGGGCGCGUAGGCGGCCACCGCAAGUCGAUUGUGAAAUCUCCGGGCUUAACCCGGAAAGGUCAACCGAUACUGCGGGGCUAGAGUGCAGAAGGGGCAACUGGAAUUCUCGGUGUAGCGGUGAAAUGCGCAGAUAUCAGGAGGAACACCGGUGGCGAAGGCGGGUCUCUGGGCAGUAACUGACGCUGAGGCGCGAAAGCGUGGGGAGCAAACAGG
rnacentral:rRNA from 1 species